GGUCAGGGUGAUUUACGGAACCUGAGGCCUGUUCCUGGACGAGGUGACACGUGCUGCUGACGCCGGCUCUCACACCUUUGCUUUUUGCCAGAGGCUGUUUCCAACCUGGAGCUGAAGACAACAGGUCACGGGACUGCGUGAGCCUAUCCCGCUCCACCCUCAUAGCGAUCCACCCUCUGCCUUCCAAACAACGUGACCGCUCCGAAAAGAAUUCCUGUGAGUGUUUGGACUUGGUCGACCACGUGAAGCCACCUUGGCGUCCUCCCUGACUUUUGCUUUUGAGGCGAAUGGGGCAAAGACUGCAAAGAUGUCUCAGGCAAGAAAAACAUUUUUGGUGCUGAUUAUCCGGGACGAGAUGGAUGCAAAGUCACAGAGGCAGCCGAUGCCCUUUUCCUCUCUUUAAAUGGCAAUUUUCUUUUCCGUUGCUUUUGGUAAGCACAGCGUGUCAGUUCAAAUGCCAUCUGGAUACGGAACCACCCAGCACUCUGACGAAGAGCUCUUAUUUUGAACUGUAUUGAGUCACUCCAGAGGCCACAUACCGGGAGGUAUACAUUGACGAAUGACUGCACCAGUUGUAAAGGUGAUUUUUAGCUCAAUAGCUCAGAUUCUGAAUGAGGAAGAAAAAAAAAUCCAUCUGCAAGGCAGCAUCCAACAUGCAAGGAGAUGUGGACUCCGACAGCUCGGUGAUUGUGUGAUCACGGCUAUCGGUGCUUUUUUGUUGUUCCCUAGACAAAGUAUUUCGGUGGCUUUAACUUUCAGGCUCUGCUUCCUUCUUGUCUCCUUCGGCGUGGGAUGGACGGGAGUGGAGGCGCACAAGAGCUUCUCUGUGACAGGAU